rnacentral:rRNA from 1 species
GAUGAACGCUGGCGGCGUGCCUAAUACAUGCAAGUCGAGCGAACGGACGGGAAGCUUGCUUCUCUGAUGUUAGCGGCGGACGGGUGAGUAACACGUGGAUAACCUACCUAUAAGACUGGGAUAACUUCGGGAAACCGGAGCUAAUACCGGAUAAUAUUUUGAACCGCAUGAUUCAAAAGUGAAAGACGGUCUUGCUGUCACUUAUAGAUGGAUCCGCGCUGCAUUAGCUAGUUGGUAAGGUAACGGCUUACCAAGGCAACGAUGCAUAGCCGACCUGAGAGGGUGAUCGGCCACACUGGAACUGAGACACGGUCCAGACUCCUACGGGAGGCAGCAGUAGGGAAUCUUCCGCAAAGGGCGAAAGCCUGACGGAGCAACGCCGCGUGAGUGAUGAAGGUCUUCGGAUCGUAAAACUCUGUUAUUAGGGAAGAACAUAUGUGUAAGUAACUGUGCACAUCUUGACGGUACCUAAUCAGAAAGCCACGGCUAACUACGUG